GUAAUUUAACAUAAAAUUAUUUUACUGUGCCGGCAAGCUCCAGAUCUAUUUAAAGUAAACUGCGAAUUUAUGGAAUUCAAUGGGCACAGGACGUCUCACUUGGCUCUCCGUUAUCAUCUCUAUACAUCAUACAAUCAAAGCAAAUUCAUGAAAUGUAUGGCUCCGUUGUAUUGCCGCGAUGUAUAAACCCUUCCAAGGAACCGCAAGGAUUUUAAUGGAGGCCCAACCUAUUUCCGGUAGAUCUGAGUCUGUUCAUGGCAGUAACACCGCCCGGUCUCCCCCUAAGGGUGUAAACAAUUUUCUAGCGGUAGCAAAAUAAUGUGGCCAAGACCAGUGUAUGCUCACUUGUCAUCGUGACAGUUUUUGGAUAUUUUGGAUUUAUUUUGAACUCAGCAGCUCCAGAUCUAUUUAAAGUAAACUGCGAAUUUAUGGAAUUCAAUGGGCAUAGGACGUCUCACUUGGCUCUCCGUUAUCAUCUCUAUACAUCAUACAAUCAAAGCAAAUUCAUGAAAUGUAUGGCUCCGUUGUAUUGCCGCGAUGUAUAAACCCUUCCAAGGAACCGCAAGGAUUUUAAUGGAGGCCCAACCUAUUUCCGGUAGAUCUGAGUCUGUUCAUGGCAGUAACACCGCCCGGUCUCCC